GGCUACACACGUGCUACAAUGCGUAUACAGAGGGAAGCGACCUCGCGAGAGCAACGGAACCCACAAAGUACGCCGUAGUCCGGAUCGGAGUCUGCAACUCGACUCCGUGAAGUCGGAAUCGCUAGUAAUCGUGGAUCAGAAUGCCGCGGUGAAUACGUUCCCGGGCCUUGUACACACCGCCCGUCACACCAUGGGAGUUUGUUGCACCAGAAGUAGGUAGUCUAACCGCAAGGAGGACGCUUACCACGGUGUGGCCGAUGACU
rnacentral:rRNA from 1 species